AAGCUACUGGGGGAGCCGAAGCUCCCCCCCAAGUUGGUGCGUGCUUUGUUUUUAUUGUUAUUGAGGGCCUGUUGUUUUUGUUGUUUGGCCCUUCCCGGCUUGCCGUGGCUUACCGGGUGCUCCCUAGAGAGGGGAGCCAAUAGCAAACGGAUUUCUUUGGACGCUGAUGCUGCCAUGUUCCAACCAGUUCCGGCGCUGCCUUGGGGCAGUU
rnacentral:sRNA from 1 species